UACGUAGGGGGCAAGCGUUGUCCGGAUUUAUUGGGCGUAAAGAGCGCGUAGGCGGUGCGGUAAGUCACCUGUGAAAUCUCCUGGCUCAACUGGGAGCUUGCAGGCGAAACUGCCGUGCUGGAGUGUGGGAGAGGUGCGUGGAAUUCCUGGUGUAGCGGUGAAAUGCGUAGAUAUCAGGAGGAACACCUGUGGCGAAAGCGGCGCACUGGACCACAACUGACGCUGAGGCGCGAAAGCGUGGGGAGCAAACAGG
rnacentral:rRNA from 1 species